UACGUAGGUGACAAGCGUUGUCCGGAUUUACUGGGCGUAAAGAGCGCGCAGGCGGUCGUUCAAGUCGGGUGUGAAAGCCCCCGGCUCAACUGGGGAGGGUCAUUCGAUACUGAUCGACUCGAAGGCAGGAGAGGGAAGUGGAAUUCCCGGUGUAGUGGUGAAAUGCGUAGAUAUCGGGAGGAACACCAGUGGCGAAGGCGACUUCCUGGCCUGUUCUUGACGCUGAGGCGCGAAAGCUAGGGGAGCAAACGGG
rnacentral:rRNA from 1 species